AUGAACACUGGCGGCGUGCCUAAUACAUGCCAGUCGAGCGAACAGACGAGGAGCUUGCUCCUCUGACGUUAGCGGCGGACGGGUGAGUAACACGUGGAUAACCUACCUAUAAGACUGGGAUAACUUCGGGAAACCGGAGCUAAUACCGGAUAAUAUAUUGAACCGCAUGGUUCAAUAGUGAAAGACGGUUUUGCUGUCACUUAUAGAUGGAUCCGCGCCGCAUUAGCUAGUUGGUAAGGUAACGGCUUACCAAGGCGACGAUGCGUAGCCGACCUGAGAGGGUGAUCGGCCACACUGGAACUGAGACACGGUCCAGACUCCUACGGGAGGCAGCAGUAGGGAAUCUUCCGCAAUGGGCGAAAGCCUGACGGAGCAACGCCGCGUGAGUGAUGAAGGUCUUCGGAUCGUAAAACUCUGUUAUUAGGGAAGAACAAAUGUGUAAGUAACUAUGCACGUCUUGACGGUACCUAAUCAGAAAGCCACGGCUAACUACGUG
rnacentral:rRNA from 1 species